AUUCGGCACCUUUCACGAUGGAUCGUCCGGCACGUACCGCCGGUGAAGGGAUGACGCC
rfam:Actinomyces sp. oral taxon 414 strain F0588, complete genome.